AACACUGUUAACCUGCGGUACCUGCGGAAGGAUCAUUACCGAGUGCGGGCUGCCUCCGGGCGCCCAACCUCCCACCCGUGACUACCUAACACUGUUGCUUCGGCGGGGAGCCCCCCAGGGGCGAGCCGCCGGGGACCACUGAACUUCAUGCCUGAGAGUGAUGCAGUCUGAGCCUGAAUACAAAUCAGUCAAAACUUUUAACAACGGAUCU
rnacentral:misc_RNA from 1 species